rnacentral:rRNA from 1 species
CGCACGGGUGAGUAACACGUAUGCAACCUGGCCGUCACAGGUGGAUAACCGGAAGAAAUUCCGACUAAUACAGCAUAACACUCCUGAGGGACAUCCUUCGGGAGUCAAAGGAGGCAACUCCGGUGACGGAUGGGCAUGCGGCGCAUUAGGUAGUUGGUAGGGUAACGGCCUACCAAGCCGACGAUGCGUAGGGGUUCUGAGAGGAAGGUCCCCCACAUUGGAACUGAGACACGGUCCAAACUCCUACGGGAGGCAGCAG